rnacentral:lncRNA from 1 species
CUCCUUGGAACUCUAUAGGGGUUCCUCCCUCCAAGUUGCUGCUCAAAGGCUGCAGAAAAGAUUCAUCUAUUGCUUAUCAAAAGAGAAGGAAUACAUGGCUAUUUAUAGGGUUUCUAAACCCUAACUCCUAAUAGGACUCCUACUUAAGAUUCAUGCCCCUCUCAAUUAGGACUCUCCUAGCUAGAGUCCUAACAUUUUUACAUGAAUGUCUCUCUCAAUUAGGACUCUCCAAGCUAGAGUCCUAACAGACCCGCCCUCUUCAAAUCAGCCUU